AUACGUAGGUGGCGAGCGUUGUCCGGAUUUACUGGGUGUAAAGGGCGAGUAGGCGGGCUUGCAAGUCAGAUGUGAAAUACCGAGGCUCAACUUCGGGGCUGCAUUUGAAACUGCGAGUCUUGAGUGAUGGAGAGGCAGGCGGAAUUCCCAGUGGAGCGGGAAAAUGCAUAGAUAUUGGGAAGAAAGCCAGUGGCGAAGGCGUACUGCUGGACAUUAACUGACGCUGAGGAGCGAAAGUGUGGGGAGCAAACAGGAUUAGAUACCCUGGUAGUCCACACCGUAAACGAUGGAUACUAGGUGUGCGGGGACUGACCCCCUGCGCGCCGCAGUUAACACAAUAAGUAUCCCACCUGGGGAGUACGAUCGCAAGAUUGAAACUCAAAUGAAUUGACGGGG
rnacentral:rRNA from 1 species